rnacentral:rRNA from 1 species
AGCGUACACGGUGGAUGCCCUGGCAGUCAGAGGCGAUGAAGGACGUGCUAAUCUGCGAAAAGCGCCGGCGAGGUGAUAUGAACCUUUGACCCGGCGAUGUCCGAAUGGGGAAACCCAGUGUGAUUCGUCACACUAUCGUUAACUGAAUACAUAGGUUAACGAGGCGAACCGGGGGAACUGAAACAUCUAAGUACCCCGAGGAAAAGAAAUCAACCGAGAUUCCCCCAGUAGCGGCGAGCGAACGGGGAGCAGCCCAGAGUCUGAAUCAGCUUGUGUGUUAGUGGAAGCGUCUGGAAAGUCGCACGGUACAGGGUGACAGUCCCGUACACGAAAGCACACAGGCUGUGAACUCGAAGAGUAGGGCGGGACACGUGGUAUCCUGUCUGAAUAUGGGGGGACCAUCCUCCAAGGCUAAAUACUCCUGACUGACCGAUAGUGAACCAGUACCGUGAGGGAAAGGCGAAAAGAACCCCGGCGAGGGGAGUGAAAAAGAACCUGAAACCGUGUACGUACAAGCAGUGGGAGCACCUUCGUGGUGUGACUGCGUACCUUUUGUAUAAUGGGUCAGCGACUUAUAUUCUGUAGCAAGGUUAACCGUAUAGGGGAGCCGAAGGGAAACCGAGUCUUAACUGGGCGUUAAGUUGCAGGGUAUAGACCCGAAACCCGGUGAUCUAGCCAUGGGCAGGUUGAAGGUUGGGUAACACUAACUGGAGGACCGAACCGACUAAUGUUGAAAAAUUAGCGGAUGACUUGUGGCUGGGGGUGAAAGGCCAAUCAAACCGGGAGAUAGCUGGUUCUCCCCGAAAGCUAUUUAGGUAGCGCCUCGUGAACUCAUCUUCGGGGGUAGAGCACUGUUUCGGCUAGGGGGCCAUCCCGGCUUACCAACCCGAUGCAAACUACGAAUACCGAAGAAUGUUAUCACGGGAGACACACGGCGGGUGCUAACGUCCGUCGUGAAGAGGGAAACAACCCAGACCGCCAGCUAAGGUCCCAAAGUCAUGGUUAAGUGGGAAACGAUGUGGGAAGGCACAGACAGCCAGGAUGUUGGCUUAGAAGCAGCCAUCAUUUAAAGAAAGCGUAAUAGCUCACUGGUCGAGUCGGCCUGCGCGGAAGAUGUAACGGGGCUAAACCAUGCACCGAAGCUGCGGCAGCGACGCUUAUGCGUUGUUGGGUAGGGGAGCGUUCUGUAAGCCGUUGAAGGUGUGCUGUGAGGCAUGCUGGAGGUAUCAGAAGUGCGAAUGCUGACAUAAGUAACGAUAAAGCGGGUGAAAAGCCCGCUCGCCGGAAGACCAAGGGUUCCUGUCCAACGUUAAUCGGGGCAGGGUGAGUCGACCCCUAAGGCGAGGCCGAAAGGCGUAGUCGAUGGGAAACAGGUUAAUAUUCCUGUACUUGGUGUUACUGCGAAGGGGGGACGGAGAAGGCUAUGUUAGCCGGGCGACGGUUGUCCCGGUUUAAGCAUGUAGGCGGAGGUUCCAGGUAAAUCCGGUACCUUUUAACGCUGAGGUGUGAUGACGAGGCACUACGGUGCUGAAGUAACAAAUGCCCUGCUUCCAGGAAAAGCCUCUAAGCAUCAGGUAACACGAAAUCGUACCCCAAACCGACACAGGUGGUCAGGUAGAGAAUACCAAGGCGCUUGAGAGAACUCGGGUGAAGGAACUAGGCAAAAUGGUGCCGUAACUUCGGGAGAAGGCACGCUGAUAUGUAGGUGAAGCCCCUGCGGGUGGAGCUGAAAUCAGUCGAAGAUACCAGCUGGCUGCAACUGUUUAUUAAAAACACAGCACUGUGCAAACACGAAAGUGGACGUAUACGGUGUGACGCCUGCCCGGUGCCGGAAGGUUAAUUGAUGGGGUUAGCGGCAACGCGAAGCUCUUGAUCGAAGCCCCGGUAAACGGCGGCCGUAACUAUAACGGUCCUAAGGUAGCGAAAUUCCUUGUCGGGUAAGUUCCGACCUGCACGAAUGGCGUAAUGAUGGCCAGGCUGUCUCCACCCGAGACUCAGUGAAAUUGAACUCGCUGUGAAGAUGCAGUGUACCCGCGGCAAGACGGAAAGACCCCGUGAACCUUUACUAUAGCUUGACACUGAACACUGGUCCUUGAUGUGUAGGAUAGGUGGGAGGCUUUGAAGCGUGGACGCCAGUCUGCGUGGAGCCAUCCUUGAAAUACCACCCUUUAAUGGCUGGUGUUCUAACGUAGACCCGUAAUCCGGGUUGCGGACAGUGUCUGGUGGGUAGUUUGACUGGGGCGGUCUCCUCCCAAAGAGUAACGGAGGAGCACGAAGGUUAGCUAAUCCUGGUCGGACAUCAGGAGGUUAGUGCAAUGGCAUAAGCUAGCUUGACUGCGAGAGUGACGGCUCGAGCAGGUGCGAAAGCAGGUCAUAGUGAUCCGGUGGUUCUGAAUGGAAGGGCCAUCGCUCAACGGAUAAAAGGUACUCCGGGGAUAACAGGCUGAUACCGCCCAAGAGUUCAUAUCGACGGCGGUGUUUGGCACCUCGAUGUCGGCUCAUCACAUCCUGGGGCUGAAGUAGGUCCCAAGGGUAUGGCUGUUCGCCAUUUAAAGUGGUACGCGAGCUGGGUUUAGAACGUCGUGAGACAGUUCGGUCCCUAUCUGCCGUGGGCGCUGGAGAAUUGAGGGGGGCUGCUCCUAGUACGAGAGGACCGGAGUGGACGCAUCACUGGUGUUCGGGUUGUCAUGCCAAUGGCACUGCCCGGUAGCUAAAUGCGGAAAAGAUAAGUGCUGAAAGCAUCUAAGCACGAAACUUGCCCCGAGAUGAGUUCU